rnacentral:rRNA from 1 species
GAAGUGAGGGUAAAACCUCAUGGAGGGCCGAACCGACUCCCGUUGAAAUGGUAGCGGAUGAGGUGUGGAUAGCGGAGAAAUUCCAAUCGAACCCGGAUAUAGCUGGUUCUCCCCGAAACCGUUUUAGGACGGGCCUCGUGUGAAGAUUAUCGGAGGUAAAGCACUGAAUAGCCUAGGGGGCGAGAGUCUACCGAAGCUUAUCAAACUCUGAAUGCCGAAUAAUCGUUUCACGGGAGUCAGACUGUGUGAGAUAAGUUUCAUAGUCAAAAGGGAAACAGCCCAGACCCACAGCUAAGGUCCCAAAGUGUAUUUAAGUGGAAAACGAUGUGAAGUUGCGUAGACAACCAGGAUGUUGGCUUAGAAGCAGCCACUCAUUAAAAGAGUGCGUAAUAGCUCACUGGUCGAGUGACUUUGCGCGGAAAAUUUAACGGGGCUAAAAUACACACCGAAGCUUGGGCUUGACGCUUUUGCGUCAGGGGUAGGGGAGCGUCGUGUAAGGGGCGAAGUCGUAUCGUAAGGGACGGUGGACUUUACACGAGUGAGAAUGCCGGAAUGAGUAGCGAGAAUUAUGUGAGAAUCAUAAUGGUCGAAAGCCUAAGGUUUUUGGAGGAAGGUUCGUCCGCUCCAAGUAAGCCGGGAGCUAAGGUCAGGCGGAAACGCGUAGCCGAUGCACAUACGGUUGAAAUUCCGUAGCCUCAGAAAGAUUUAAGCGAAGGGACACUUUGAAAGGACUGUUGCCGGGUGUUGGUUACCCCGGUCGUAAGGGAACGAAAUUAAGUAGUGAAGGCAGUCUGGACGGAGGCGAGAAAAGCUUCGUGUAUAUCUUAUGAGCCCGUACCGCAAACCGACACAGGUAGGUGGGAUGAGAAUUCUAAGACCAACGGGAGAAGGGUAGUUAAGGAACUCGGCAAAUUGUCCCCGUAACUUCGGAAUAAGGGGAGCCUGCGAAAGCAGGCCGCAGAGAAUUGGCCCAGGCGACUGUUUAUCAAAAACACAGCUCUAUGCUAAAUCGAAAGAUGACGUAUAUGGGGUGACACCUGCCCGGUGCUGGAAGGUUAAGAGGAGAUGUGAGAGCAUCGAAUUGAAGCCCCAGUAAACGGCGGCCGUAACUAUAACGGUCCUAAGGUAGCGAAAUUCCUUGUCAGGUAAGUUCUGACCCGCACGAAUGGUGUAACGAUCUGGGCACUGUCUCGACUACCCGCCCGGCGAAAUUGUAGUACCGGUGAAGAUGCCGGUUACCCGCGACUAGACGGAAAGACCCCAUGGAGCUUUAC